rnacentral:rRNA from 1 species
GACGAACGCUGGCGGCGUGCUUAACACAUGCAAGUCGAACGGAAAGGCCCUGCUUUUGUGGGGUGCUCGAGUGGCGAACGGGUGAGUAACACGUGAGUAACCUGCCCUUGACUUUGGGAUAACUUCAGGAAACUGGGGCUAAUACCGGAUAGGAGCUCCUGCUGCAUGGUGGGGGUUGGAAAGUUUCGGCGGUUGGGGAUGGACUCGCGGCUUAUCAGCUUGUUGGUGGGGUAGUGGCUUACCAAGGCUUUGACGGGUAGCCGGCCUGAGAGGGUGACCGGCGACAUUGGGACUGAGAUACGGCCCAGACGCCUACGGGAGGCAGCAGGGGGGAAUAUUGCACAGUGGGCGGAAGCCUGAUGCAGCGACGCCGCGUGCGGGAUGACGGCCUUCGUGUUGUAAACCGCUUUCGCCUGUGACGAAGCGGGAGUGACGGUAAUGGGUAAAGAAGCACCGGCUAACUACGUG